CAGCACCUCAAGUGGUCAGGAGGAUUAUUGGGCCUAAAGCAUCCGUAGCCGGCGCUGUAAGUUUUCGGUUAAAUCUGUACGCUCAACGUACAGGCUGCCGGGAAUACUGCAGCGCUAGGGAGUGGGAGAGGUAGACGGUACUCGGUAGGAAGGGGUAAAAUCCUUUGAUCUAUUGAUGACCACCUGUGGCGAAGGCGGUCUACCAGAACACGUCCGACGGUGAGGGAUGAAAGCUGGGGGAGCAAACCGGAUUAGAUACCCGAGUAGUCC
rnacentral:rRNA from 1 species